rnacentral:rRNA from 1 species
CGCGGCCUAUCAGCUUGUUGGUGAGGUUAUGGCUUACCAAGGCGACGACGGGUAGCCGGCCUGAGAGGGUGUCCGGCCACACUGGGACUGAGAUACGGCCCAGACUCCUACGGGAGGCUGCAGUGGGGAAUAUUGCACAAUGGGCGCAAGCCUGAUGCAGCGACGCCGCGUGGGGGAUGACGGCCUUCGGGUUGUAAACCUCUUUCAGCUAUGACGAAGCGCAAGUGACGGUAGUAGCAGAAGAAGCACCGGCCAACUACGUGCCAGCAGCCGCGGUAAUACGUAGGGUGCGAGCGUUGUCCGGAAUUACUGGGCGUAAAGAGCUCGUAGGUGGUUUGUCGCGUUGUUCGUGAAAACCUGAGGCUUAACCUUGGGCGUGCGGGCGAUACGGGCAGACUGGAGUACUGCAGGGGAGACUGGAAUUCCUGGUGUAGCGGUGGAAUGCGCAGAUAUCAGGAGGAACACCGGUGGCGAAGGCGGGUCUCUGGGCAGUAACUGACGCUGAGGAGCGAAAGCGUGGGGAGCGAACAGGAUUAGAUACCCUGGUGGUCCGCGCCGUAAACGGUGGGUACUAGGUGUGGGUUUCCUUCCUUGGGAUCCGUGCCGUAGCUAACGCAUUAAGUACCCCGCCUGGGGAGUACGG